rnacentral:rRNA from 1 species
UGGGGAAUUUUGGACAAUGGGCGCAAGCCUGAUCCAGCCAUGCCGCGUGCGGGAAGAAGGCCUUCGGGUUGUAAACCGCUUUUGUCAGGGAAGAAAUCUUCUGAGUUAAUACCUCGGGAGGAUGACGGUACCUGAAGAAUAAGCACCGGCUAACUACGUGCCAGCAGCCGCGGUAAUACGUAGGGUGCAAGCGUUAAUCGGAAUUACUGGGCGUAAAGCGUGCGCAGGCGGUUUUGCAAGACAGAGGUGAAAUCCCCGGGCUCAACCUGGGAACUGCCUUUGUGACUGCAAGGCUUGAGUGCGGCAGAGGGGGAUGGAAUUCCGCGUGUAGCAGUGAAAUGCGUAGAUAUGCGGAGGAACACCGAUGGCGAAGGCAAUCCCCUGGGCCUGCACUGACGCUCAUGCACGAAAGCGUGGGGAGCAAACAGGAUUAGAUAGCCCUGGUAGUCCACGCCCUAAACGGUGUCAACUGGUUGUUGGGAAGGUUCCUUCUCAGUAACGUAGCUAACGCGUGAAGUUGACCGCCUGGGGAGUACGGCCGCAA